UACGUAGGGUGCGAGCGUUGUCCGGAUUUAUUGGGCGUAAAGAGCUCGUAGGCGGUUUGUCGCGUCGGCCGUGAAAUCUCCACGCUUAACGUGGAGCGUGCGGUCGAUACGGGCAGACUUGAGUUCGGUAGGGGAGACUGGAAUUCCUGGUGUAGCGGUGAAAUGCGCAGAUAUCAGGAGGAACACCGGUGGCGAAGGCGGGUCUCUGGGCCGGCAUUGACGCUGAGACGCGAAAGCGUGGGGAGCGAACAGG
rnacentral:rRNA from 1 species